rnacentral:tRNA from 1 species
GGGACAUUAGCUCAGCUGGAUAGAGUACUCGCCUCCGGAGCGAGAGGUCACAGGUUCGAAUCCUGUAUGUCCCACCA